UGGGGAAUAUUGGACAAUGGGCGCAAGCCUGAUCCAGCCAUGCCGCGUGGAUGAUGAAGGCCCUAGGGUUGUAAAGUCCUUUCGGCGGGGAAGAUAAUGACGGUACCCGCAGAAGAAGCCCCGGCUAACUUCGUGCCAGCAGCCGCGGUAAUACGAAGGGGGCUAGCGUUGCUCGGAAUCACUGGGCGUAAAGCGCACGUAGGCGGCUUUCUAAGUCGGUGGUGAAAUCCUGGAGCUCAACUCCAGAACUGCCUCCGAUACUGGAGAGCUCGAGUCCGGGAGAGGUGAGUGGAACUGCGAGUGUAGAGGUGAAAUUCGUAGAUAUUCGCAAGAACACCAGUGGCGAAGGCGGCUCACUGGCCCGGUACUGACGCUGAGGUGCGAAAGCGUGGGGAGCAAACA
rnacentral:rRNA from 1 species